ACGGAAACGAUUCGUUUCCUCUAUGUAUUAAUCGGAUUUUCGAACUUGGAGUACGGUGCUGGAGCUUGCUCCACCCUGCUCAUGGGUUGUCCUGGUAUUGCAUUGCCUCCAGGUUCGGCUCACGUUUC
rnacentral:snRNA from 1 species